rnacentral:hammerhead_ribozyme from 1 species
ACCUAGAUGAAGAAUCCCAAAUAGGACGAAAUGCAUAUCUUGGAU